GCGUUAGAAUUAUACUUGACGCGUUUGCUUUCCAAUGUAAUAAAGAUGACACAUGAAGCGCCGCUGCCUGUUGACUUGAGUUUCGCCGCGAGUGUAACAUCUCGCUACGCGGUGACACCAAAACAGAUACCAAGAGGAUUCGUCGGACACUUUCCAAGUUUUCAUUCUCCCAACGAGUACCGGGAGAAAGAAGGAUCCCUCGGAGGACAUUAAGAAUUAGACGCGAAGAUUUUCCAUUAAAUGGAACAUUGAUUGAUUGCUGUGGAUAAAGUUCUACGAGGCGGCCGCGUGAUAAAUGGAUAUUUCGGAGUACUCCGUUUGUUACUCGUACGGUUACAUGGUAUCUCUUGGAAGAGGAAACUUUUCUCGUCUUCAACUUACCGGACCGUGAUAUUAUUUCCCCCUAAUAAUGGCCUAUUACUCGGCGAGUUACAAAGAGAAAUGAACUACUGGAAAGAAGAUAGGAAAGCGGAAACUGGUGAAUACGAGUCUCGUCGUGGAGAAGUAGCAGACAAUUUAAACUACAAUUUUUGAGACGAGUUUUAAUUUUUGUCUUACAUUCGCGGUUUGUGACAAAAAUAUUGAUGUCUGUAUUGAUUAAGGAAGCAAGUUAAUUACCAUUUAUGAAAACCAAUUUAUAUCAACAAAUCAUAAAUUGAAAGUAUUUCUGAUUUUAAA